CUGUCCUGAUCCUGCUGACUGAGCCUGGAGUGUAGCGAGAGUAGAUGAGAAAAACAGCUACAGUCUUAAAAGUCUUAAGUAUACUUUGUUCGCAGAAUAAUAUUUGUAUGUGAGGUGCUUAGUGGAGGGUGUCAGAGGCUAGGAUCAUGGUGUUGUCUAAACUGUGGGGCCUGCUAACACUCGGCGGACUGUAAACACAGUCAGAAAAAGGCAGAUCUCCUGCCUCAGCUGGUGUGGGAGCCUCUACAGGCAGGUCAACCUGAUCUGUCAGUGCCAUUGAGCGAGUGAUUGAAUAUAGACGAAUACAAGAAAGAAGCUGAAAGGAAAAAAUGUGUUGGAGAAAGAAAAAUCAGUCGGCUUUGUUCCCUGGCCAUGUGAUAAAAAGUUAGUGGUGAAGAGUGAACUCCAUGACACAAGAUGUACCAUCUAAUCGAUCUAAGCUGCAUCUUGCCAAGACAGUAAGCGUCUGCUCAGUCUCUGUGGACCCACUACCUGACGUCCAUACAUCGAGGCACAUGUUGAUUUAGUCAGCAUUUGCAGUGCCAGACACCCUGGACCAGGAGAAGCAGAGUGGAAGAGAAAAUAUGAGCAUCAGGAGGAGCGAAUCUUCAAUGUGCUCCUGUAAGAAUGAGGUUGUGCUGACUGAUAAUGUAAUGCAGAGCAACAGUGGAGGUCAGAAAGUGGAAAACAUCUCUAAAGUGUAAUGCGGAGUAAAAUAACCAGAACUUCACAGAAGAGAAGAGUAAAACUUAAAUAUACCAGAAACUGAAAGCAAGGCAAAAAAUUUAUGAUUUUUUUCAGGGACAUUUCAGGUUUUAAACUUGAAGUUCAUAAUAUAGCAAAUGUUAAGUGUGAUGUAUAAAUAUCCAUGCG